GAUGAACGCUGGCGGCGUGCCUAAUACAUGCAAGUCGAGCGAACUGAUUAGAAGCUUGCUUCUAUGACGUUAGCGGCGGACGGGUGAGUAACACGUGGGCAACCUGCCUGUAAGACUGGGAUAACUUCGGGAAACCGAAGCUAAUACCGGAUAGGAUCCUCUCCUUCAUGGGAGAUGAUUGAAAGAUGGUUUCGGCUAUCACUUACAGAUGGGCCCGCGGUGCAUGAGCUAGUUGGUGAGGUAACGGCUCACCAAGGCAACGAUGCAUAGCCGACGUGAGGGGGUGAUCGGCCACACUGGGACUGAGACACGGCCCAGACUCCUACGGGAGGCAGCAGUAGGGAAUCUUCCGCAAUGGACGAAAGUCUGACGGAGCAACGCCGCGUGAGUGAUGAAGGCUUUCGGGUCGUAAAACUCUGUUGUUAGGGAAGAACAAGUACGAGAGUAACUGCUCGUACCUUGACGGUACCUAACCAGAAAGCCACGGCUAACUACGUGCCAGCCGCCGCGGUAACAC
rnacentral:rRNA from 1 species